CACCUGACCCCAUGCCGAACUCAGAAGUGAAACGCCGUAGCGCCGAUGGUAGUGUGGGGUCUCCCCAUGUGAGAGUAGGGCAUUGCCAGGC
rnacentral:rRNA from 1 species